GCCGAGCUCUGAGGGGACCGGCACCGGCACCGGGACAGCGGCCGGCACCGGGCUCCUCUGCCGGAUCGUGGAUCGCUGCCCUCACAGCCGGCUGCGGCAGCGCGGAGCCCGCCGCACUGGGAGCCCUCCCGGUGUCCCCACAGCAUGCCCCGCCACUGCUGUGCAGAUGCUGCCGAGCAAAGUUGUGACAGAGCUCGAGCGCAGAGAGCAGCAAAUCCGAGUGGGACAAACCUGAGCGAAUGAGAAUCCGGCUCCCCGAAGAGACAUCACCUUAUAUGGGAACAGCACGGACAAGAGCAUGAACGGUCCGGCCGGGCUGCUGAGACUCUGAGCCUGGGAUUUAGAGGCUGGACCUUGAGAGCUCUGCAGGUUUCCAGCCCCACCUCCUGUGUGUACAGUGUCAGUGGUGGCCUCACACCUCUCCUGCCCCUGGGCCAGAUGCACACAGCUGGCUCAGAACACACUGGGCAGCUGCAGCUUUGUGUGACUGUGCAGCAAGAGAGGCACAGCCAAGGUAUGUGCCACCAAUGGCUCUGCAGUGACUUCAUCACUCAUUUUGGUCCCAGCCCCUGAUGCAAAACCAGUCUAAGACCAGGUAGAAUGGUGUCCCAAGCAAUAUGGGAUAAGAAGCUGGAGAGCUCUGUGUCCACUGAUGACCCCAGAACCCCAGAACCCCACUGCCCUGUGCCUUGCCUGGCACUGCCAGCCCUGUGGAGUGGGUGCUGUGUGUUCUCCCAGCCCAGAAGAGUGUUACACCUUCUCUGCACUGGUGUGAAGUGGUGGGGGUGGAG